UGGAGAAGGUCCCAAGGGUUAGGCUGUUCGCCUAUUAAAGUGGCACGCGAGCUGGGUUCAGAACGUCGUGAGACAGUUCGGUCCCUAUCUGUUGUGGGCGUUGGAGACUUGAGAGGUCCUGGCAUUAGUACGAGAGGACCGUGUUGGACAAACCUCUAGUGUACCUGUUGUGGCGCCAGCUGCAUCGCAGGGUAGCUACGUUUGGAAGAGAUAAGCACUGAAAGCAUCUAAGUGCGAAGCUCCCCUCAAGAUGAGGUCUCCUUUAAGGGUCGUUCUAGACUAGGACGUUGAUAGGCUGUAGGUGUAAAUGCGGUAACGUAAAAGCCGAGCAGUACUAAUUACCCGUAACUUUCUACUG
rfam:Bacteroidetes bacterium RIFOXYA12_FTLL_38_20 rifixya3_full_scaffold_226, whole genome shotgun sequence.